CACCUAAUCAACAAGUCGAUGACAACUUCAAACACCAUAAUUGAAUAGGUUUGUAUAAGACAAGCUUGCCAGCAAAUUGUAAGAGGAGUUGUUUGGUUGUUGCAAGCCCUUAUGGUAGGAAUAAAUAUUAAACCAAUGUGUUGGUCGCUAGAUGUAUCGGCAUUUGACUAUGGGGGCCAUGGACCAAAUCUUCAUACUUUACAAGAUGAUGGAAGUGCUUACAGCUGGCUGAUCACUACUUGAAUAGCUUCAUAGACUAAGUCAGCGAGACUUUUUUGUUCUAGGAUGCUCCUCCAGAUCCAUCCAUGAGAUGGCAGGUGAGCUGUCCCUUUAGAGAGAAGAUUAAAGAUGCCACAAUUAUGUAAUGCAAACUAGUCUUCGAUGAAGCUACAGUCACAUGAUGCAUAAAAGAAAAUGAUCACUGUGUGAGGUGUUUAAGAAGAAACAUGAAAUCUGUGAAACACAACAUAUCUAAACUUCCUCCUAAAGGUUACAGACUUGACUCACUAUGUCAGUUGAAAUUUAGUGAAUCAGACAUUUCUCUUAUGAGAACUAUUAAGAUAUGUUUACAAUCCUUUAGUAGAACAAGGUUAUGGGAUGCAUAUGUGAAGCAUUAGUCUUUCAUGUGCAAAAAUUACUUUAGAUGAUUGGAAUUUUCAGAAAUUAGAAGAAAAGAGCCAUACUAUAGAUCCUUUAAUUCUCAUAGAAUCCCAUUUGAUACCAACUUUAUCAAAUGAUGUGUUCUAUAAUAUAUAAAUUAUGUUAAAGAAUGACAGAUUGAUAUUCACCAGAAAAAAAAUCUAGAAAAAAUAAGAAUUUAAUGUGAAGAACAGUAUACAAAUGGGUAAAGGAGGAUGCUUUUGUUAUGAGGACACACCUGAGCAGGGAACCGGGACUCUCCAGGGCAUUUCUUAUCCUCCCAUGCCGUCGGAUCGAUGUUGGUUCCUCCAAAGCUAGCUGACUGCGCAUCAGAACA
rnacentral:lncRNA from 1 species